AGUGAACGCUGGCGGUAGGCCUAACACAUGCAAGUCGAACGGCAGCACAGUAAGAGCUUGCUCUUACGGGUGGCGAGUGGCGGACGGGUGAGGAAUACAUCGGAAUCUACUUUUUCGUGGGGGAUAACGUAGGGAAACUUACGCUAAUACCGCAUACGACCUACGGGUGAAAGCAGGGGAUCUUCGGACCUUGCGCGAUUGAAUGAGCCGAUGUCGGAUUAGCUAGUUGGCGGGGUAAAGGCCCACCAAGGCGACGAUCCGUAGCUGGUCUGAGAGGAUGAUCAGCCACACUGGAACUGAGACACGGUCCAUACUCCUACGGGAGGCAGCAGUGGGGAAUAUUGGACAAUGGGCGCAAGCCUGAUCCAGCCAUACCGCGUGUGUGAAGAAGGCCUUCGGGUUGUAAAGCCCUUUUGUUGGGAAAGAAAAGCAGCAGGUUAAUACCCCGCUGUUCUGACGGUACCCAAAGAAUAAGCACCGGCUAACUUCGUG
rnacentral:rRNA from 1 species